CACAUAGAUGUAUCUUUCACCAUCAUUUGGUUUUCGGCAGUUCAGGCAACCCUGCAUUGAUAUACUUAUGUGAGUAGUAGCAGCAGAAUCUACCCACUUAGUAUCCCUAGGUACCGAAAUUAAAUUAACUUCCGAACAAACAAGAGAAAUAAAUGUACCCUUUUUCGCACUCCAGGCAUGGUACUUGGUACAAUCUUUCUUCACAUGAUCAGUCCCCUUACAGAGAAAGCAACC
rnacentral:lncRNA from 1 species